rnacentral:rRNA from 1 species
AGAGUUUGAUCCUGGCUCAGAUUGAACGCUGGCGGCAUGCCUUACACAUGCAAGUCGAACGGCAGCACGGGAGCAAUCCUGGUGGCGAGUGGCGAACGGGUGAGUAAUGUAUCGGAACGUGCCCAGUUGUGGGGGAUAACUACUUGAAAGAGUGGCUAAUACCGCAUACGACCUGAGGGUGAAAGCGGGGGAUCGCAAGACCUCGCGCAAUUGGAGCGGCCGAUAUCAGAUUAGCUAGUUGGCGGGGUAAAAGCCCACCAAGGCGACGAUCUGUAGCUGGUCUGAGAGGACGACCAGCCACACUGGGACUGAGACACGGUCCAGACUCCUACGGGAGGCAGCAGUGGGGAAUUUUGCGCAAUGGGCGAAAGCCUGACGCAGCAACGCCGCGUGAGUGAUGAAGGCUUUCGGGUCGUAAAGCUCUGUCGAGGGGAAAGAAGUGUACUUUGGCUAAUAUCCAUUGUACUUGACGGUACCCCUAAAGGAAGCACCGGCUAACUCCGUGCCAGCAGCCGCGGUAAUACGGGGGGUGCAAGCGUUGUUCGGAAUUAUUGGGCGUAAAGCGCGUGUAGGCGGUCUGAUUAGUCUGAUGUGAAAGCCCUGGGCUCAACCCAGGAAGUGCAUUGGAUACUGUCAGACUUGAAUACGGGAGAGGGUAGUGGAAUUCCUAGUGUAGGAGUGAAAUCCGUAGAUAUUAGGAGGAACACCGGUGGCGAAGGCGGCUACCUGGACCGAUAUUGACGCUGAGACGCGAAAGCGUGGGUAGCAAACAGGAUUAGAUACCCUGGUAGUCC